rnacentral:tRNA from 1 species
AAAAAAUUAGUUAAAUUAUAACGUUAGUUUGUCAAACUAAAAUUAUUAUAUCAUUAAUAUUUUUUG